rnacentral:rRNA from 1 species
AGAGUUUGAUCAUGGCUCAGAACGAACGCUGGCGGCGUGGAUUAGGCAUGCAAGUCGAACGAUAUCCUGGGCAUCCAAGUAGCAAUAUGAGGGUGUUCAGGGGACAGUGGCGAAAGGGUGAGUAACGCGCGGGUAAUCUGCCUUCGAGUUGGGGAUAGCUCUGCGAAAGCGGAAUUAAUACCGAAUGUGGUCAUGGCGCACAUGCGCCAUUAUCCAAAGCCGGGGACCGCAAGGCCUGGCGCUCGAGGAUGAGCCCACGUACUAUCAGCUUGUUGGUGAGGUGACGGCUCACCAAGGCUAUGACGGUUAGCUGGUCUGAGAGGAUGGUCAGCCACACUGGGACUGAGACACUGCCCAGACUCCUACGGGAGGCUGCAGUCGAGGAUCAUUCGCAAUGCGCGAAAGCGUGACGGUGCGACGCCGCGUGCAGGAUGAAGGCCUUCGGGUCGUAAACUGCUGUCAUGAGGGAACAAUGUCCGGGAUGUGAAUAUCAUCCCGGGGUGAUAGUACCUCAAGAGGAAGCCACGGCUAACUCUGUGCCAGCAGCCGCGGUAAUACAGAGGCGGCAAGCGUUGUUCGGAUUUACUGGGCGUAAAGGGUACGUAGGCGGUUCUGUGUGUCGGACGUGAAAUCUCACAGCUCAACUGUGGAAUUGCAUUUGAAACUACAGGGCUGGAGUACAGGAGAGGAGAGCGGAAUUCUCGGUGUAGCGGUGAAAUGCGUAGAUAUCGAGAGGAACACCGGGUGGCGAAGGCGGCUCUCUGGACUGAUACUGACGCUGAGGCACGAAAGCUGGGGGAGCAAACAGGAUUAGAUACCCUGGUAGUCCCAGCCCUAAACGGUGUGCACUUGGUGUGGGGGAGGAUUGUCCCUUCCUGUGCCGGAGCUAACGCGUUAAGUGCACCGCCUGGGGAGUACGGUCGCAGAUUAAACUCAAAGGAAUUG